rnacentral:rRNA from 1 species
AUACGGAGGAUCCGAGCGUUAUCCGGAUUUAUUGGGUUUAAAGGGUGCGCAGGCGGCAAUUUAAGUCAGCGGUUAAAUCGUGGGGCUCAACCCCAUUCUGCCGUUGAUACUGGGUGGCUUGAUUUCGGUCGAGGUUGGCGGAAUUCGUUGUGUAGCGGGGAAAUGCAUAGAUAUGACGAAGAACACCGAUUGCGUAGGCAGCUGACCAGACCGCAAAUGACGCUCAUGCACGAAAGUGCGGGGAUCGAACAGGAUUAGAUACCCUGGUAGUCCGCACAGUAAACGAUGAAUACUUGUUUUCGGCGAUAUAAUGUCGGAGGCAAAGCGAAAGCGAUAAGUAUUCCACCUGGGGAGUACGCCGGCAACGGUGAAACUCAAAGGAAUUGGCGGGG